AUAUCAUGCUGAAUAUACCGGUUCUCGUUAGAUCACCGAAGUCAAGCAGCAUUGGGCGCGGUCAGUACUUGGGUGGGUGACCACCUGGGAACACUGCGUGCCGUU
rnacentral:rRNA from 1 species